rnacentral:rRNA from 1 species
AUUGAACGCUGGCGGCAUGAUUUACACGUGCAAGUCGAACGGUAACAGGCCGCAAGGUGCUGACGAGUGGCGAACGGGUGAGUAAUGCAUCGGAACGUGCCCAGUCGUGGGGGAUAACUACUCGAAAGAGUAGCUAAUACCGCAUACGAUCUAUGGAUGAAAGCGGGGGACCGUAAGGCCUCGCGCGAUUGGAGCGGCCGAUGUCAGAUUAGGUAGUUGGUGGGGUAAAGGCUCACCAAGCCAACGAUCUGUAGCUGGUCUGAGAGGACGACCAGCCACACUGGGACUGAGACACGGCCCAGACUCCUACGGGAGGCAGCAGUGGGGAAUUUUGGACAAUGGGCGCAAGCCUGAUCCAGCAAUGCCGCGUGCAGGAAGAAGGCCUUCGGGUUGUAAACUGCUUUUGUACGGAACGAAACGGCUCUGGUUAAUACCCGGGGCUAAUGACGGUACCGUAAGAAUAAGCACCGGCUAACUACGUG